GUCGAUGACAAAUGUAGCGCCGUCCUCUCGCCACGCCUCUUUUUAAAGUUGCCUUUAAAUUGGCGUUUUCCAAAGUCAGUACCAUGCUAAGUAAAAAGCAAUAGACGACAGGGUUGCAAUAAUGCGGGUGUUUCUGGCGGCUGUUGUUAUGGCUAAGUUGUAAAUUGUAUUUGGGUUUGGAUGUGAAAAACCAUGUCCUGUCUGCAGAGCUGGUGCCUGUCCAACAAAUGGGGGGAGGCUGCCAUCAACAUCAGGCUGUACCUGUGAUUGCGACUGUCCUGGCAAAUUGAAGUGCUGUGCAUAUGGAACUAUCCGUACAUGUGUGCAAUCUACUUCUGGAUAUCCAGGUCUAUGUCCCGUCAUUACGACGAGUGCCACAACGUGUAAGGUUGACGGAGAUUGUUCCAAGGG